CAGAGAAUAGUUUAAUUUAAAAUACUAGUUUUGGGAACUGGCGAUAGGAGGUAACUCUUUUCUCUGA
rnacentral:tRNA from 1 species